CUACUCUUGACAUCCACGGAAUUUGGCAGAGAUGCCUUAGUGCCUUCGGGAACCGUGAGACAGGUGCUGCAUGGCUGUCGUCAGCUCGUGUUGUGAAAUGUUGGGUUAAGUCCCGCAACGAGCGCAACCCUUAUCCUUUGUUGCCAGCGAUUCGGUCGGGAACUCAAAGGAGACUGCCGGUGAUAAACCGGAGGAAGGUGGGGAUGACGUCAAGUCAUCAUGGCCCUUACGAGUAGGGCUACACACGUGCUACAAUGGCGCAUACAAAGAGAAGCGACCUCGCGAGAGCAAGCGGACCUCAUAAAGUGCGUCGUAGUCCGGAUCGGAGUCUGCAACUCGACUCCGUGAAGUCGGAAUCGCUAGUAAUCGUGGAUCAGAAUGCCACGGUGAAUACGUUCCC
rnacentral:rRNA from 1 species